AUCCAAUAUGACCAAACCUGAUUACAAACACAAAGACUAAUCAGCAAUUUCUUCUUGAGAAAUUAUGAAUAUACCCUAGUCUCUCAAGGAAUUACAACUCAAAGACUAAUCGUCAAUGACUUCUUAAUGCUUCUGACAAUACCCUAGUCCCUCAAGAAAAUACAACUUAAAAGUUGAGAAACAAAGUGUGUUACAAAGAUGCUUCUAUGAAAGCAGAUUAAAAAAAUGUAUAACAAAGUUUUACACACAAAAAU
rnacentral:lncRNA from 1 species